CAGAAGCAGCGUACAUGCAGGAAGAAAAAGGGAUGAAUUCCAAAACCUAGGUUGAUCUUCAAACAAAGAUAACUUUUGAUCCGGAGCUUCGAUUGACGAACCGUUUGCGACUACGCGUUCACCACGACGAGCUCUACAAAACUCAUGGAACAAUUUUGUAGGUUCAAAUUAGCUUCCGAAACUUAUGGGUUCAAGCUAUUGAGCAUAUGGGUAUGGUGUAGAUUAAGUGGGUAAAUAUGCAUUGGAAUUUAAUUGGGAAUAUUUAGAGGCUUGUUGGUGAUCAAAGCUUAGUUUGUGGCUGUUUUACUUGAGCUUGGAGGGGCUAUAAUUUUGUGUUGAGAGGCUACCUUGGGUGAAUUAAGUGAUCGGCCAAGAUGCAGGUCGAGAGGCUCCUCGCUAGGCGUUUGGAUCCUGGAGCGGAGUAGUCCUUGGGUUAUUUUGGGCUUUAUGAUUGUAUAUAUAUGUACCUAUGUACUUAGCUUGCUCUCCAAGAAACUUGCUUAUUAUGUUCCUCAUAGAGGUUACAGGAGAGUUAGGACUUUAUUUCUGUAUUUUAGGUAUUUUGGGAUACUUGUAUAUAUAUAUGUGUGUAAAUAUUCUCCGGCCAGUCUUGGCUUCACAGGUUGAGUCAGGAGCUAGUUUCACUGUACCCUUGGCUCUCUUUUCGUUCUUGUGCUUAUUUAUGUCUAUAACCUUUAGGUUUCUUAGCACGCAAGAAAUUCUGUUUCUUGAGCGUUGCGCUUUUUGU